UAUUAUUAUCAGAAAUAAACAAUCUCGUACGUUCGGAAUCGGCAUUAUCAAGUUAAACAGCAUUCGGUCAGGAUAAUAUAUGUUCGCUUGACUUACAUGUAUGUAUAUUAUACAAGUCAGAUUACUCUUGUAUCUCAACUUUUCAGCUGCAUUCCUGUCGACCAGAACGUCUCCUUGUGUCACUAAAUCAUCGAAAACUUGUAAAAGGUAGCCUCAACGUACAGUCUGUACAUGAAGUUUUGCUAAUAUUUAAGCAAUGGCCAAAUUGUGGAUUACAUUUCUGGCGGUCGCAUUGGUCGGCCUGAUGGUUUUGGCUGCUGUCAUGGCCGACGAAACCACCCCGGAGCCGGACUCGCUGAACCCGGAUAAAAUUUUUAAUAAAUACAUUAAACAGAUCGAAGCUGAAAUGGGCGCAGUUGGUGUAACUGUAGUUAAUACUACACAGAAAGCUGCCUAAUGCUUAAUUUUACAAUUUCUAAAUACAAAUGCCACAGCCAUAAUUCUUAAGACUCAUCAAUAAAGGUACUAUCAAGGUAUCAAGGUAAAGAUCUAUAUUACAACGGA